AUUGAACGCUGGCGGCAGGCCUAACACAUGCAAGUCGAACGAGUGGCGGAAGGGUGAGUAAUGUCUGGGAAACUGCCAUAUGGAGGGGGAUAACCACUAGAAACGGUAGCUAAUACCGCAUAACAUCAGAUGUCCCGAGAUGGGCUGAGCUUGGUGGUGGGGUAACGGCACACGAAGGCGACGAUCCCGAGCGUGUCUGAGAGGAUGACCAGCCACAUUGGAACUGAGACACGGUCCAGACUCCUACGGGAGGCAGCAGUGGGGAAUAUUGCACAAUGGGCGCAAGCCUGAUGCAGCCAUGCCGCGUGUAUGAAGAAGGCCUUCGGGUUGUAAAGUACUUUCAGCGGGGAGGCGUUACCCGCAGAAGAAGCACCGGCUAACUCCGUGCCAGCAGCCGCGGUAAUAC
rnacentral:rRNA from 1 species